rnacentral:miRNA from 1 species
UAGCCACAGCCCUCACCCUAACCUGAAGGAGGAGGAUUCAUGCAAGCUCACCCCUAAGCUAUAGUACACAGAGAGCCCUUAUCCCACAACACAGCACAAAACAACACCCC